UCGAAGAACUUGAACCAGUGCAUUUUUUCUUUCGUAAAAGUAGCGUAACGAAUGGUUGUAAAUAUCGAGUUUCGUUUAAACUACUAAACCUACGUUCAUUUCGUGACUGUAAAUGGCAUCUGAGCAAAGCAAACAGUAUUGGUUAGUCUAAAGGUGAAAGAAAAAAAUGUAUUUAGUCAUCUCACCAUCUGGGCCAUAACUCUACAGCCCACGUUCCUUGUAUAAUCGCAAACCCGGUUUUUGUUGAGCAUCUACUCAAGAGUCAGUUUCGAGUUAAAAGUUGUAUGUCUAUUUUUGUGAAUAUCUGGGCCCCUCAAGGCCAACCGAGGUUAGUAAUCUGAAAUUCAAGAACUUCUUUUCAGAUUUCAACAAAAUCUACAUUCAUGGCCAGGUAACAAGUCAUGUAUGUAUACGAACAUACCUAAUUAAAAUGGUUUGCAUAUUUUAAAAGAAGGCAAUCACAUGCACUUGCUAAUUAAGAGAAAAUCUUCAGAAGAAAAGCCAAAGGAAGGCGAUAUAUAACCAGUUCCACUUUAGUCCCAGAAGAAAACUGUUUCAUAACACGUAGGUACAUUGUACAGACAGCCCGCUAAUACAUGUUGAUACAUAAUAUAAUUUUGUAUAACA